rnacentral:rRNA from 1 species
AACGAACGCUGGCGGCAGGCCUAACACAUGCAAGUCGAGCGAGGACUUCGGUCCUAGCGGCGGACGGGUGAGUAACGCGUGGGAACGUGCCCUUUGCUUCGGAAUAGCCCUGGGAAACUGGGAGUAAUACCGGAUGAGCCCUUUGGGGGAAAGAUUGAUCGGCGAAGGAUCGGCCCGCGUUGGAUUAGGUAGUUGGUGGGGUAAUGGCCUACCAAGCCGACGAUCCAUAGCUGGUUUGAGAGGAUGAUCAGCCACACUGGGACUGAGACACGGCCCAGACUCCUACGGGAGGCAGCAGUGGGGAAUCUUAGACAAUGGGGGAAACCCUGAUCUAGCCAUGCCGCGUGAGCGAUGAAGGCCUUAGGGUUGUAAAGCUCUUUCAGCUGGGAAGAUAAUGACGGUACCAGCAGAAGAAGCCCCGGCUAACUCCGUG